rnacentral:rRNA from 1 species
UACGAAGGGUGCAAACGUUGCUCGGAAUUAUUGGGCGUAAAGCGCACGUAGGCGGCAUUGCAAGUCGGAUGUGAAAUCCCUCGGCUUAACCAAGGAAGUGCAUCCGAAACUGCAGUGCUUGAGUACUAAAGAGGAUCGCGGAAUUCCCGGUGUAGAGGUGAAAUGCGUAGAUAUCUGGAGGAACACCGGUGGCGAAGGCGGCGUUCUGGACUGCAACUGACACUGAGAGACGAAAGCCAGGGGAGCAAACGGG